ACCAAUUAUCCCCCACAGUAUUUAUACCAGCCCAUCACCCGCUCCUGGCUACAUUGUCAAUGUGGCUUAUUGUUUUAGUGGUCCAGCUGCUUCCACACGAACCUGGUAACCUGUGGACUUUUGUUUGGACUUGCUGGUUUUGCCUGAAAGCUGAAGCUGUCAUCUGCUUCUUUGAUGCUAACUUAUUACGGACCGUAACCCUCCCAAAUAAGAGCCCCCAUGCCUUGGGUUUCACCCCUGUAAGGUCUCCUCGUUCACCGCGUCGCACUCGUUUCUGCUGA
rnacentral:lncRNA from 1 species